GGUUAAUUAAUAAUGGGAACGUAAUUACCGAAAUGGUAUAAAACACGCUUCGUUCGUGAAGAACACCAAGUUGCUUAGGUUUCUACAACAAAGCAAGUGAAAAAUGAAGGCAGUACUUUUGCUUACGUUUGUGUUCGCACUUUUGGGUUUAAUUCGUGCCAAUCCGUCUCCAAAUCCGAUGCCCAGAGCUAAACCUCAGUAUUGGAACUACGGAUACGGAAUGCCGUACGGAAUGGGCUACGGAAUGGGUUAUGGAUACUAUUUCUGAAACACUUAAAAAUGUUUGUAUGAUUUCAUGACUGAAAAUAAAAUGACCUCUACUUAUUA